GAGCCUCCAUGAAGCCCUCAUGAAUGAUGGACCUUGGCCUUAGCCUUGGUCCCCUAGGCCUUGGGCACACCACCUGGAUCACAACAAAUGGCAUAAUAGAAAAUGACGAAGAUAGCAUACAGUACAGUCAGCCUGCGAGUCGGAUGAUUAGACUGUCUUCAUUAUUAUCACAUCAAGAAUUAUUAGACUAUUUAUGCAGUGGUAUUCAUAUAGAUAGAGAAAAAUAUGAAAUCAAAUUGAGGUGG
rnacentral:lncRNA from 1 species